CAGUGGCAUCUUCUGAUUUCAGGUCGGUUAGGCCCCGUUUAACCAUCUAUGUCUGCCGGGAGCAGCCAAGCAGCACAGUGCUGCAAGGGCAGCAGCAAGCUGCAAGCAGUGCAAGCGAGAAUGGCAGUGGGGCACCCUAUGUUUAUCAUGCAAUCUACUUGGAAGAAAUGAUUGCCUCAGAAGUUGCUCGAAAACUUGCGCUGGUGUUUAAUAUUCCUCUCCACCAAAUUAAUCAGGUUUACAGACAGGGUCCCACUGGUAUUCACAUUCUUGUUAGUGAUCAGAUGGUUCAGAAUUUUCAAGAUGAGAGUUGUUUUUUAUUCUCCACAGUAAAAGGUACUUUGCAUGUGUGUGUGUCUUAAAAUGGUGGAAUCAUGAGAGAUGGUGUGUGCCUCUAAUUAGUGCCUCUCGUGUUUAUUCUUUAAAAUGAUUGCUUUACUCAUUUUAAGAAGAAAGUUUGAUAAAUGAAUCGAGAAUAUUUCUAGUGGUUGUAACAGAAAUUAGCAUAUAAGGAAGAGGAGUCAGUCUUUCUAGAUAACUG
rnacentral:sRNA from 1 species